rnacentral:rRNA from 1 species
CCUACGGGAGGCAGCAGUGAGGAAUAUUGGUCAAUGGCCGGGAGGCUGAACCAGCCAAGUCGCGUGAGGGAAGACGGCCCUACGGGUUGUAAACCUCUUUUGUCAGGGAGCAAGGUGCAGGUCGGGACCUGCUGUGAGAGUACCUGACGAAAAAGCAUCGGCUAACUCCGUGCCAGCAGCCGCGGUAAUACGGAGGAUGCGAGCGUUAUCCGGAUUUAUUGGGUUUAAAGGGUGCGCAGGCGGAGGCACAAGUCAGCGGUAAAAUCGCGGGGCUCAACCCCGCUCCGCCGUUGAAACUGUGGCCCUUGAGUGCGCGAAGGGUAGGCGGAAUGCGUGGUGUAGCGGUGAAAUGCAUAGAUAUCACGCAGAACUCCGAUCGCGAAGGCAGCCUACCGGCGCGCAACUGACGCUCAUGCACGAAAGCGUGGGUAUCGAACAGGAUUAGAUACCCGAGAAGUC